rnacentral:tRNA from 1 species
GGUGUGUCGUUGGUGUAAUGGUAACAUUCCUGGCGCGGUUCUAGGAAGACGUCGGUUCGAAUCCGAUACGGGCCA